CAUGCCGGGUGUCUGUCUGUCCAUGCCUCGUGUCCAUCCCUCCAUUCCCCCGUGUCCACCUGUCCAUGCCCCGUGUCCAUCUGUCCGUGUCCACACCAGUGUCUGUGUGUCCAUCCCAGUGUCUGUCUGUCCAUGCCCCGUGUCCGUCUGUCCGUGUCCAUCCCUGUGUCCGUGUGUCCCUGCCGAUGUCCGUGUGUUCAUGCCUGUGCCUGGUGUCCGUCUGUCCAUGCCCCGUGUCCGUGUGUCCAUCCCGGUGUCCGUCUGUCCAUGCCCCGUGUCCGUGUGUCCAUCCCUGUGUCUGUGUGUCCACACCGCUGUCUGUGUGUCCAUCCCGGUGUCCGUGUGUCCGUGUCCGUGUGUCCAUCUCCGUGUCCAUGUAUCCAUGUGUCCAUCCCGCUGUCCAUGUGUCCAUGUCCGUCUGUCCAUGUGUCUGUGUGUCCAUGUGUCUGUGUGUCCAUCCCUCUGUCCAUGUGUCCAUGUGUCCAUCCCACUGUCUGUCUGUGUCCGUGUGUCCAUCCCGCUGUGGGUGUGUCCGUGUAUCCACCCCUCUGUCCGUGUGUCCAUCCCACUGUCCGUGUGUCCAUGUGUCCAUCCCCAUGUCCGUGUGUCCAUGUGGGUGUCUGUAUGUCCACGCCAGUGUCUGUGUGUCCGUGCAUCCAUCCCGCUGUCCAUGUGUCCAUGUCCGUGUGUCCACACCUCUGUCCGUGUGUCCAUCCCAUGUCCGUGUGUCUGUGUGUCCAUGUCCGUGUGUCUGUGUGUCCGUGUGUCCAUCCUGCUGUCUGUGUGUCCCUGUCCGUAUGUCCGUGUGUCCAUGUCCGUGUGUCCAUCCCAUGUCCGUGUGUCCGUGUGUCUGUGUGUCCGUGUCCAUGUGUCCGUGUGUCCAUGUCCGUGUGUCCAUCCCGUGUCCGUGUGUCCAUCCCAUGUCCGUUUGUCCGUGUGUCCAUGUCCGUGUGUCCGUCCCAUGUCCGUGUGUCCGUGUGUCCGUGUGUCCAUGUCCGUGUGUCCCUGUCCGUGUGUCCAUCCCCCGUGUCCGUGUGUCCUGCGGGCAGGUGCUGGCGCAGGCCUGGCCGUUCCUGGGGCAGUUCCUGGAGAAGCUGCUGCAGCAGAGCGUGGCCCCGGCCAUCCGCGCCUCCAGCGCGCACCUGCAGAGCUUCGCCUUCACCCGCGUGCACCUGGGACAGCAGGUGACCGGGGGG
rnacentral:lncRNA from 1 species